rnacentral:rRNA from 1 species
GGUUGGACGAAAUAUAUACUGUUUCAUUUAAAAUUUAAAUAGAAUUUUAUUUUUUAGUUAAAAAGCUAAAAUAUAGUCAAAAGACGAGAAGACCCUAUAAAUCUUAAUUGUGUAUAAAUUUUUAAUUUGGAUUGAUUUUUUUAAGUAUAAAUUUAUAUAUAAUUUCAUUGGGGUGAUGUUAAAAUUUAAUUAACUUUUAAUAAUUUUAUUCAUUUAUUUAUGACUAAGUGAUCCAUUAUUAGUGAUUAUAAAUUUAAGUUACUUUAGGGAUAACAGCGUAAUUUUUUUGGAGAGUUCUUAUCGAUAAAAAAGUUUGCGACCUCGAUGUUGGAUUAAGAUUCAUAUUUAAAUGUAGAAGUUUAAAUAUUAAGUCUGUUCGACUUUUUAUUCUUACAUGAUCUGAGUUCAAACCGGUGUAAGCCAGGUUGGUUUCUAUCUUUGAUUUAAUAAAAUAUUUUAGUACGAAAGGAAUUAGUAUUUAU